AGUCAACCCGAGGGCGCCAUGAAAAAUCAGAGGAGAACGUAGAACCGAAAACUUUGGGCACCGAAAAAAUCAAUCAUCUCAACCAAACUUGAAAGAAAUUAAAUUAUUAUUUCAAAUCGCUGAUAUAUGUAUGUACCUAAAUAGGAAUAGUAGAUCUGUAAGAGUGUUCAAAGCGUCCAUCACCGAAGCUAUGUUUUCUUACUUACUUAUCAUGCUUUAAUAAGAACGCAACCAGUGGAACCGAAAUAUUUCACCCAAGCUCUUUGAUUGAAAACAUCUGCAGUUUAUAUCUUAAACUGGUUGUAGCGUCUACUUUAAAUACAAUGCGGUAUUAUAUCAUAAUGUGUUGGAUAUCAAUUUGGAAUACAUUUUUUCAUAACAAUGUUGCCGAAAUUAAUAUUUAUCUAAAUAUAAACGAUUUACUGAAUAGUGGAAUUAUGCCAUUUGAUCUGUUUUUCAACCCUAUUAUUCGGACUAAUAAAGAACAAAAUACAUAUAAUACAACCAUUUUUCAAAUUAUGAACUAUCACAGACAUUUAAAGCAAAACGUUUUAAUAUCAGGUUACAUUACGAAAAAAAUUUUAAAUUUUAAAAGCCUUGUGAAUCAUUCAACUUUUAAGAGACGAAUUGGACGAUCACCAUAUUAUUUUGAAGGUUCUGUUAAUAAACAAUUAUUUCAGAACGACGCUAUUCAGUACAAAACUUGGCCACAAAGGUAUAUUACUCGAGUUUAUUACUAAUAUUUUAAGUUUAGUCCCAUAACUCUUUGUUUGCUAA